GAUAUAUAAACGCAGUUGGGCAUAUCGCAAGCCCUAGAUAUGCGUCUAGAUUUUGUCGAUAUCCUCGUCCUCAAACUCGAUGUAGUCAUCGCCUGCGCCUUCAUCUUCCUCGUCAAGGCCGCCUGCAAUACCCUCAUUGAGCCUAGUGUUCUCCGGAAGCUCGCCGUAGGCCUUCAGAAGGCGAGCCUCGUCGGGCAUGUACUUGAGGAUGACGUCAGCCUUGUCAUCCUGGUAGUCACGGAGACCGACGAGGAUAAUAUCACCUGCGGCGAUCCAGACCUUCUUGUGCAUCUUCCCGCGGAUAUGGCAAAGGCGUU
rnacentral:lncRNA from 1 species